GUCCUUGUAGCACAGUGGAUAGUGGGUUGGACUUCUAAUCCAAAGGUUGUGGGUUUGAAUCUCACCUGGGAUG
rnacentral:tRNA from 1 species